UCAAUGGACGUUAGUAGAGCAGACGAACGAAACGGAAUUUCUAGUUUUACCAGCUCUAAAUCUGCCAACAGAAGAUGAUGUAGACCUUUUAUUUCAGUGCAAAAGCUGCCCAGUGGAUUUUUAUCAACAGUCGAUGUAUAGCACUGAUGUAGUCCAAGAUGGCGGCAAGUCACCAUCGGAGGAGCAGGGGGGACCGCUACACCUCUAAUAUCAGCUCAACAUCUGGCAUCUUGGAGUACAGCUAUGUGCAUGAUGCAAAUACAAAUGGUGCCCGUAAUGGCAAUGGCUUCACUGUACGCAAACGGCCUUAGCUCAAUUGCUAUGCGCCAAGCAGAGCAAUCACUCAGCGGAGAGCAUUGGGGUAUAUCUACGUAAAGUGAAGCAAGCUAUCUCCACAACGGCAGCUCGAUUCUCUGGAUUUAUGCAACACGAUGCGCAAGAGUUUCUCUGUCAGUGCCUGGAUC